rnacentral:rRNA from 1 species
GACGAACGCUGGCGGCGUGCCUAAUACAUGCAAGUAGAACGCUGAAGAGAGGAGCUUGCUCUUCUUGGAUGAGUUGCGAACGGGUGAGUAACGCGUAGGUAACCUGCCUUGUAGCGGGGGAUAACUAUUGGAAACGAUAGCUAAUACCGCAUAACAAUGGAUGACACAUUUCAUUUAUUUGAAAGGGGCAAUUGCUCCACUACAAGAUGGACCUGCGUUGUAUUAGCUAGUAGGUGAGGUAAGGGCUCACCUAGGCGACGAUACAUAGCCGACCUGAGAGGGUGAUCGGCCACACUGGGACUGAGACACGGCCCAGACUCCUACGGGAGGCAGCAGUAGGGAAUCUUCGGCAAUGGGGGCAACCCUGACCGAGCAACGCCGCGUGAGUGAAGAAGGGUUUCGGAUCGUAAAGCUCUGUUGUAAGUCAAGAACGGGUGUGAGAGUGGAAAGUUCACACUGUGACGGUAGCUUACCAGAAAGGGACGGCUAACUACGUG